UAAAACGUAGGUGGCAAGCGUUAUCCGGAUUUACUGGGCGUAAAGGGUGUGCAGGCGGGCGGUCAAGUGGUGUAUGAAAUAUCCUGGCUCAACCAGGAGAGGUUAUGCCAGACUGACCGUCUUGAGUGCGAGAGAGGGGCGUGGAAUUCCGGGUGUAGUGGUGAAAUGCGUAGAGAUCCGGAGGAACCCCAGAGGCGAAGGCGGCGCCCUGGCUCGCAACUGACGCUCAUACACGACAGCAUGGGGAGCGAACGGGAUUAGAAACCCCGGUAGUCCAUGCCGUAAACGAUGCAGACUAGGCGUUGGCGGUCUCAACCCCGCCGGUGCCGAAGCAAACGCGAUAAGUCUGCCGCCUGGGGAGUACGGCCGCAAGGCUA
rnacentral:rRNA from 1 species